rnacentral:SRP_RNA from 1 species
UCCGGAGGGGAUGGAGACUUUUAGCUGCGGAGACCGGUUCAGGCCCGGAAGGGAGCAGACUUACCGCAGACAUCUGGUGCCCACAGGGUUGC